UGACUGCACGGAGCUCACGCUCCUCCUGG
rnacentral:sRNA from 1 species